GACGAACGCUGGCGGCGUGCUUAACACAUGCAAGUCGAACGGAAAGGCCCUGCUUUUGUGGGGUGCUCGAGUGGCGAACGGGUGAGUAACACGUGAGUAACCUGCCCUUGACUUUGGGAUAACUUCAGGAAACUGGGGCUAAUACCGGAUAGGAGCUCCUGCUGCAUGGUGGGGGUUGGAAAGUUUCGGCGGUUGGGGAUGGACUCGCGGCUUAUCAGCUUGUUGGUGGGGUAGUGGCUUACCAAGGCUUUGACGGGUAGCCGGCCUGAGAGGGUGACCGGCCACAUUGAGACUGAGAUACGGCCCAGACUCCUACGGGAGGCAGCAGUGGGGAAUAUUGCACAAUGGGCGGAAGCCUAAUGCAGCAACGCCGCGUGCGGGAUGACGGCCUUCGGAUUGUAAACCGCUUUCGCCUGUGACGAAGCGUGAGUGACGGUAAUGGGUAAAGAAGCACCGGCUAACUACGUG
rnacentral:rRNA from 1 species